rnacentral:rRNA from 1 species
UACAGAGGUCUCAAGCGUUGUUCGGAUUCAUUGGGCGUAAAGGGUGCGUAGGCGGCGCGGUAAGUCGGGUGUGAAAUCUUCGGGCUUAACCCGAAAACUGCAUUGCGAACUGGUCUGGCUAGAGUGUGUGAGAGGGUAGUGGAAUUCCCGGUGUAGCGGUGAAAUGCGUAGAGAUCCGGAGGAACCCCAGAGGCGAAGGCGACGCCCUGGCUCGUACCUGACGCUCAGCCACGAAAGCAUGGGGAGCGAACGGG